CGCCAAGUAGGGCAGUGGUGAGCCCAUGGGGUUCAUGCCCCCAAGGUCGUUGGUUCGAUUCCAACCUCGGCGC
rnacentral:tRNA from 1 species